AAGAAGGAGAAGGAGAAGGAGAAGGAGAAGGAGAAGGAGAAGGAGAAAGAGAAGAAGAGGCUGCCAGGAAGAGGAAACAAGUGUCAUAAGCAAAGGCUCGGAGGCAUGAAGGUAAGAAAACUGAGGCUCAUGUGACUUAAAGGUUGUUUGAGGUGACCCAAUGACAGAACAUUGAUGCUGGUUGGAUGUGAGAGAAGAUGUACAUUCAUCAGGGACGCCUAAGACCCCUGUUAAGAAUUCAGCUCUAACUGAACAAAAGCCUCGGGGUUCACAGUUAUAGGUGGAUCUCGCCUUGGCAAUGAGGGGGCUAAUAAAUGACUCUGAC